GGUAUAUUUCUACUUCAGAUUAUCGGGCAGAUCAGCUCUCUCAAGAAAUGGCUACAGCUACUUUUAAUGGAACAAGGAACCAGACGGCGUUUCGACUGCAGCAAGUAUAACCACCGUGCACUAGAGAGAUCAGUAAAGGAUGGAAGUAUCACCUCAAUGUGGAAGAUUAUGUGGAUCUCCUUCAAGCAUUUCUCUGGCUUCCUGGAAAUCACUUGGCAAGACAGAACUCAGAGUAGAAUGCUUGGUUUCAGGAUCCAUCUUCCCAGUGAACUCGUUAUGCAUUCUCAAGUUCUGGUUUAGGCCACAGGAUAGUGAACAGAAUCAGAAG